rnacentral:rRNA from 1 species
AUUGAACGCUGGCGGCAGGCCUAACACAUGCAAGUCGAGCGAGCGGCGGACGGGUGAGUAAUGUAUGGGGACUGCCCGAUAGAGGGGGAUAACUACUGGAAACGGUAGCUAAUACCGCAUACUAUCGGAUAACCCAUAUGGGAUGAGCUAGUAGGUGAGGUAAUGGCCUACCUAGGCGACGAUCCCUAGCUGGUCUGAGAGGAUGAUCAGCCACACUGGGACUGAGACACGGCCCAGACUCCUGCGGAGGCAGCAGUGGGGAAUAGUGCGCAAUGGGCGGAAGCCUGAUGCAGCCAUGCCACGUGUGAGAAGAAGGCCCUAGGGUUGUAAAGUACUUUCAGUCGGGAGGCGUUACCGACAGAAGAAGCACCGGCUAACUCCGUGCCAGCAGCCGCGGUAAUAC